CAGUGUGAUGGAAACCAGGGGAGGCUGCACCAGACUGACCAGAGAAAGAUGUAGCGAAAGAACGUCCGCUGCUGUCUGGAA
rfam:Gossypium arboreum cultivar AKA8401 contig_614_1, whole genome shotgun sequence.